AACAUGCAUAUACCCCUCCCAUCAAAGCAGUGGAUGCCUCUAACCUGAAUUUCACAAAAGCUCUAACAGAGCCCCACCUUAGCUCUAGCAGUUGCAUGGGUGAUCAGUUGUUCAUAUCCCCCACCAUGAUCAGCAAGCCAAAACCGAAAACAAAAUGAUCAACAUCCAUCCUGGGAUGGAAAGGGAAGCCAUGAGUCCAGUCGGAGCAAAACAGAGAAGCCUUCCCUUGCCCAAAGAGCAGGGGAAGCAAUCAAGAAUUGCUCAGCAAAAACCCGAGAAAGAAAGCCAAAAGAAAGUUGACAGCAAAUUCUCUCACCCUCACAAGAGAGAGAUUUGUUGCGUGUUAAUUUUUUUUAAUUAAUUGUAUAGAUUGUGAAUAUUUAGUUUUUCUUGAAA
rnacentral:misc_RNA from 1 species